CCUAGCAUUUGGGAUGCAGAUGCAGGAUGAUUGUUGAAAGUUCAAUGUCAAUCAAGGCAACCUGUCUCAAAAAAAAAAAAAACAAAAAAACAAAAAUUAAAAGUAGGGGGCUUGGGCCCUAGUGGAGUGGCUCAGUGACAGUGUUUGCUUGCCUGAUACAAUAGUGUGUAUGUGUGUGUGUGUGCCCAUGUGCCCACGUGUAAACUAUAUAUGAGCAAAACUAAUUUUAAAAGGGAAAGGCUGGGUUGGAUGUGGUGGUGUACACCUAUAGUCUCAGAAUUCAUGAGGUAGAGGAAGGCAGUAUCUCUAUAAUUUGGAGGCCAGCCUGGUCUACAAAAGCAGGUUCUAGGCCAGCCAGGGCUACAUAGUGAGACCCUGUCUCAAAAGCAGAAGAAAAACAGAACUUAGUGUGUUGCAGGAUUUUCCCUGUCCAAUAAUUACAUUAGGGCAGCAGGAGGCCUGUGAUUGGACAGUGAAAGGGAGGCAGAACUAAGAGUUGCAGAGACAGUGUCUCAGAGGGAGAAGGGAGAAGGCCAAGAUGGAGGCAGAUGUGAACCAAUAUGGCUUUAACCAGCCACAGGUAGUUAUGAUAUAAGGUUAGAAUAAUUGGGAUAAAGCUCUUAUCAUUAUCAAUUGGUUUUGAAUUUAUUGUCUUGGCAUCUUAUAAAUUGAUAUUUAUUGAUACAUAAAUCUGAUUGGUUAAUUAUAAGCUUCAAGAGUUUUGUUUCUAUCGGGCAGAUGGGUAUUGUGGUGGCUGACCGUGGUGUGGAUGGUCAUUGCAUGGCAUCAAGAGGAACUUGGGAGCUCAGGCCCCGCCGGAGAGUUGCCGGCAUAUGUGUGGGAACAUGCCGGUCAUUUUUUAAUAUUUCCAGCAACAUUAGUGUUACUUCAAAAGGCCAUUCCCGUGGAUCUUGCCAACAGAAAGUUUGUAGUCUUUGUUCUCCAAAUCCAAAUGAGAGUUAUGAGGAUGCCUGAAGGUUAGCCUUUAACAGGAGGAGCCUCUCUUGCCCUAUAAAUAAUUAAUUUAUUGGCCAAACAUUGGUAUUCUUUCUAGCAGGUGCCAGGCAUUGUAGUAAGUACUGGUGAGUGGGUACUAUAUUUGGAGACCCUACUUUUCAAGACUUCCCACCUAUCAGGAGGCAGAGACACUGAAAUAACUCCUAUAGUGUAAUACUAUGCACACUAUACGGUAUGUAAUUCAGUGCAUACUAUACAGCAUGUAAUUCAGUGCACACUAUACAGCAUGUAACACAGUUCACACUAUACAGUAUGUAACACAGUUCACACUAUACAAUAUGUAAUUCAGUGCACACUAUACAGUAUGUAAUUCAGUGCACACUAUACAGCAUGUAACACAGUGCACACUAUACAGUAUGUAACAGUGCACACUAUACAGUAUGCAACACAGUGCACACUAUACAGUAUGUAACACAGCACACACUAUACAGUAUGUAACAGUGCACACUAUACAGUAUGCAAUACAGCGCUCACUAUACAGUAUGCAACACAGUGCACACUAUACAGUAUGCAACACAGUGCACACUAUACAGUAUGUAACAGCACACACUAUACAGUAUGUAAUACAGUACACACUGUACAGUAUGUAACAGUGCAUACUAUACAGCAUGUAAUUCAGUGCACACUAUACAGUAUGUAAUACAGUGCACACUAUACAGUAUGCAAUACAGCAACACUAUAGCACACUAUACAGUAUGUAAUACAGUGCACACUAUACAGUAUGUAACACAGCACACACUAUAAGUAUGUAAUACAGUGCGCACUAUACAGUAUGUAACAGUGCACACUAUACAGUAUGCAAUACAGCACCCUAUACAGUAUGCAAUACAGUGCACACUAUACAGUAUGCAAUACAGCACACUAUACAGCAUGCAAUACAGUGCACAUUAUACAGUAUGUAAUACAGCACACUAAGUAUGUAAUACAGUGCACACUAUACAGUAUGUAAUUCAGUGCAUACAGUAUACAGUACUUAAUACAAUAUAAUGAAGCUAAUACAGUAUACAGUAUGCAAGACUGUAAUACCAGUGAGGGCUGUGUGAGAGGUGUUUGAAAUGGAUCCAAAAAUAGACAUUCACUGGGUGAAGACCAUGGAUGAGAACAUGGGAAAAGGGAAAAGGAUUUUUUUUUUUUUUUUUUGGUUUUUCGAGGCAGGGUUUCUCUUUAUAGCCCUGGCUGUCCUGGAACUCACUUUGUAGACCAGGCUGGCCUCGAACUCAGAAGUCCGCCUGCCUCUGCCUCCUGAGUGCUGGGAUUAAAGGUGUGUGCCACCACGCCCAGCAGCUGUUGCUUUUUUCAAGACAGGGUUUCUAUGUAUAGCUGGCUGUCCUGGAACUCAGAGACCUUUCUGCCUUUGCCUUCAAGUGCUGCAGGAUGACCAAUGCCUGACAAUAAAUAAAUAAAUAAAUAAAUAAAUAAAUAAAUAAAUAAAUAAAUACCUUAAGCAGGGCAUAGUGCAUACAACUUUAAUCCCAGCAUGUGAAAGACAGAGGCAGGCAGAUCUCUGUGUGUUUGAGGUCAGCCUAUUCUAUAUAUCAAAUUCCACAACAGUCCUACUACAGAGAGAAGCCAUAACUCAGAGAGAGAGAGAGAGAGAGAGAGAGAGAGAGAGAGAGAGAGAGAGGAGGUAGGGCUUGGAUGUAGUAGCAAAGCCAGUAGAAUGUACACUUCCGUUGUGGGGCAUGUGGGUCCUGAGUUCAAUUCCCAGCAACCACAUGGUGGCUCAUAACUAUCUGUAAUGGAAUCUGAUGCCCUCUUCUGGUAUGUCCAAAGACAGAUACAGUGUGCUCAUAGAGAAAAAAAAAGCAAAUCUUAAAAAAAAAAAAAAAAGAUAGUCUUUUGUAGGCAAGAUGGUUCAAUGUGGGGAACACUUAAUACCAAGCCUGAUGACAUGAGUUCUAUUCCCAGUACCCUCUAAUAGAGAGAACCAACUCCUGAAGUUUGUUCUCUGAAUCAAUCAAUCAAUCAAUCAAUCAAUACAUGUUUAAUACAUAAAUAAAUAGCUUAAGGAACCCUCAGAUGACUUCUGUUCCUCAUCCAUGAGAAUCUUUAUGUUUCAUUUAUCUGAUAGCCUCAGUUUGUAUCAUCUUUGAAAAAACACUCAUGUAUUUAUUAAUAAUAGCUAUUGGAUAUUUGUAAUGCACUACAAGUGACUCACAGGCAUUUAUCACAGUUGGGCACUGUUGUUAUCUCCACUUAAGGGAUGGGUUUGAGUUAAGAGAUUAAGUAAAAAUUUCAAAGUCAUACAAGUAGAGGAGUUGGAAUUGAUGCAGAAUUUUAACAAAUUAUGGGAUAUACAACUCAAUUUCCUUUUGUAUUAAAGUUACUGGUUAGGUAUGAUGGUUCAUACCUAUAAUCUCAGCACUCUGGAGGAUCAGGAGUUUAAGGUAAUUUUCAACCACAUAGGGAGUUUGAGGCCAGCCAGAGCUGCCUGGGACCCUGCCAGUAUUAUUAAGGAGCCUACUUGUUAUGCAUCGUAGGUGUAAUUAAGUUGUAAUGCCACAGGGCAGUUGGUGGACUACUUCUCUACUUAGACUUUUGGUGGCAGCUAGAAAAGGAAACCUGCCAUUGCCUUCGCUUCCUUGUUCUAUUCUAGAUUAUCAUGUUUGUAACUACCAUCUCAAGUAGAAUUGCCUUUUUUCUUUCCAGAAGUUAACAGUGUUCCUACAUAUCUUGUUUUAGAAACUUCUAUCUGGAGUCCUGACCUACUCCAGACAGACAGACUGCCUAUGCAAGUGUUAUAUGAGACUGCCUGUACUUGCUUCAGUACUGGAGACAGUUUUCCAGCUAAAAAUAAUAGUACUAUUUAUUAACAGGAUUAUAAACUGAAUAAACUUUGUUAUUCUAAUGAAAUUCUAUUUAAAAUAAAGUUUUGAAAUAUAGACUUAUCUUGUGCAAACAAUUCAGAAACCUGAAUGAAAAACGUCCUACAUAAUAUGUAUACAAAUACAAAUAGACAUUAAAAAUAUAAAAUAAAAACACCACUUUGCAGUUGAGCAUGGUAGCACAUGUCUUUGAUUUCAGCACUUGGGAUGCAGAGGCAGGUGGAUUUCUGUAAGGCUGAGACCAGUCUUGUCUAUAUAGUGAGUUCUAGGACACCUAGAACUAUGUAGACAGAUCUGUCUCAAACAAACAAAACACUUUCAGGGCUGCUGGAGGUCUGGGUUUGUUUCCAGCACCCCGCAUGGCACUGUCUGCAACUCUAGUGCCAAGGGUUUCCAGCACAUUCUGCUGGCCUGUCUGGGCAUAGUAUGUAGGUGGUGCACAUAUAUACCUGUAGAUUAAACACUCAUACAGACCCCCCCCCCCCGCCAAAAAAGAAUCUUAAACAAACAAAAACCCACUAGAAAAAUAAGACUAGGAUUGUGGUCUCAUUAUAAAAGAUGUCACAAAGAUUAAUGUGUUUAGUGUGUUGGGUAACAGCUUAGGUAAAUAAUUUUACAACUUUAUAGUUUCCCAUUUCUACUAAUCAUUUAAAAUUAGCCUUGAAGGUGAAGAGGAACUGAAUAGGUCAAUAAGAUCUGAAGUCCUGGGCUGGUGAGAUGGCUCAGUGGGUAAGAGCACCCGACUGCUCUUCCAAAGGUCUGGAGUUCAAAUCCCAGCAACCAUAUGGUGGCUCACAACCAUCUGUAACAAGAUCUGACUCCCUCUUCUGGAGUGUCUGAAGACAGCUACAGUAUACUUACAUAUAAUAAAUAAAUAAAUCUUAAAAAAAAAAAAAAGAUCUGAAGACCUCAGCAGAUUGGAUCUUCCCAGCCUCCUCAUUCAGAGCAGAUCUCCUGACCUCACCAUUCAGAGCCUCAUCAGUCUUUCAUUGUUGGUUUUUUAAUUUUUGUACUGAGAUAAGACUUUUUAAAAAAGGAUUUAUUUAUUUAAUAUAUAUGCAUACAUACAGAUAUGUGUACUCCAUCCCUGUCUUCAGACACAUCAGAAGAGCGCAUCAGAUCCCAUUACGGAUGGUUGUGAGCCACCAUGUGGUUGCUGGGAAUUGAACUCAGGACCUCUGGAAGAGCAGUUGGUGCUCUUAACCACUGAGCCAUCUCUCCAGCCCCCUGAGACAAGUCUUACACAGCUGAAGUUAGUUUUGAACUGAUUGCCGUGUCACUGCCUCCUAAGUGGUAAGAUUAUAUUCAUAUGCCACCAUUCUCAUUUGUGAUUGCAUAUUUAGUUUCUGCAGUACUUGGUAUCCAACCCAGGGCCUUGUACUUGCCAGGCAAGUGCUCCCAUGAGCAUGUAGCCCUAUCUUGUGUGUGUGUCUCUUUGUUACCCAGGUUGGCUCCUGCUAUGUCCUGCAGUACAGCUGGGAUUAUAGGAAAUGAUAUCUGACUAGAGGUGAGCUUUUAAACUGGUAUAGUAAGCUGGGUUGUGGUGGUAUGCACCUUUAAUUGAAACACUCAAGGAGUCAAAGGCAGGAUCUCUCUGAGUUCUAGGCCAGCUGGUCUUGCAGAGUAGCCAUAGCUACACAGUGAGAUCCCAUCUCAAACAAAAGAUGAUAUAGUAAAGCAGUCAACAUAGCUCAGCAGGAAAAACACUGACCGUGUAAGCCUGAUAGAAAUCCACAAAGGUGCGCAUAUCUGCACUCACAUACACACACACUAAAAGGUAAAAUCAUAUAAUGCUUUAGGUGGAAACCUCCAAAAAUUGUAGCUUUUUAAAAAGACACGUUCUUAUGACGAGUCUUCUCUGAACUGUGAAACUGAGCAUGAACUUGAAAUUCUGACCCCCUUCCUCCACUUUUUUUUUUAAAGAUAUACAUAUACAUACACAUAUACACACACACAAUUAUAGCUGUCUUCAGACAAAACAGAAGAGGGUGUCAGAUCCCCAUUACAGAUGGUUGUAAGCCAUCAUAUGAUUGAUGGGAAUUGAACUCAGGACAACUGGAAUAACAGUCAGUGCUCUUUACUGCUGAGCCGUCUCUCCAGCCCCCUCCUUCCACUUCUUAAGUGCUAGAGUUACAGGUAUUUAUGAUCAAUCAUGGUUUAUAUGGUGCUGGGGAUUGAAUCAGAAUUUCUUGCAUGUCAAAUCAGUACUCUACUGUGAGGCAUUGGGCUAUGCACAGACAGUCUGGUCUCCAGUUGAGCUGAGAUGUUGAACCCCCGGGGGACCGGUGGUGAUAAUUCACCUACUUGGGAUGGAAGGAGUUCUCUCAAGUCUCAUGGAACUCUGGCUCCUGUCAAAGUUACCGCCCUCUCAGCCCCCACAAGAAAAGCAUGAUUAGUAGUCACUUAGACAAUGUCCCAAGCUUCUGACCUUCAAGCUAAACUCCUCCCCAGUUACCUAGCAACAAAAAGAUAACAACACACCAAAAAGAGGGCUGUUUGGCCCCUCCUCCUCUCUUGCUCUCUCACUCUUACUCCCCUUACACUCUUCUCUCUCUCACUCUCUUCCUCUCUCUCAAUCUUACUCUCUCACUCUUACUCUAGCCUUUCUUCUCUCUCUCCUUUCCCCCCUUCUCUCCUCUUGGCCAUGGCCGGUCUCUCUCUCUCCACCUUCUCGCUUUCCCCCUGCCUUUCUAUAAUAAAGCUCUAAAACCAUAGACUGUCUCUGUUCAUCAAGGCCCUCUGCGUUUGGAGGAUGGGAUAGGCUUUCUUCUAAUGAGCCGUUUCUAAUCUCCAGAUGGAAGGCCUUCCUGUGCUCCAGUCAAGGCCCGCUGCGCAGACUCUCACCUAUGUGGAAACCUCUCUCCUUAAGCUCUCUCUCCCAUAAGCCCCUUGGUUUCUGGGGCUGCCCCUUGUCCACUCCCCGUUGAGUGGGGUCAGUGGCUUAGAUGCCCCCCCCCCGGGGGGGGGCGAGUGGAAAGCAUCUGGCAGCCCUCCUGCAUCCGCCUGCCCAGAGCAUAGGAGGAACUCUGGCCAGACGUGGGCUAUUCUCCUUUCCCCUACCCCCUUUUGUUCCCACACUCUCCAACUGAGUUACAUUCUCAGCCAAAAUUGAUUUAUAAAGUGCCAAUUUGCUUAUAAGAUUAUGAUGGGGCUGGUGAGAUGGCUCAGUGGUUAAGAGCACCGACUGCUCUUCUGAAGGUCCUGAGUUCAAAUCCCAGCAACCACAUGGUGGCUCACAACCAUCCGUAACAAGAUCUGACACCCUCUUCCGGAGUGUCUGAAGACAGCUACAGUGUACACACAUAUAAUAAAAUAAAAUAAAUCUUAAAAAAAAAAAAAAAAAAAAGAUUAUGAUGUAGUCACCAAGAAGCCAUUUUCACCCUUCAUUUUUACCUUGCAUAGCAAGAACAUUAAGAAGUAAACAGUGCCGAGGAUAGGAUGUAGGAUAGAAUAGGAUGUAGAACAGGAUGUUGGGCUGGGCUGUGGUGGUGCACACCGUUAAUCACAGCACCUGGGAGGCAGAGGCAGGUGGAUUUCUGAGUUCCAGGACAGCCUGGUAUAAAGAGUGAGUUCCAGGACAGCCAGGGCUACACAGAGAAACAAUGUCUCAAAAAACAAAAACAAAACAAAAAAGACAGGAUGUUGGAUAGGAUAGGAUAGGAUAGGAUAGGAUAGGAUAGGAUAGGAUAGGAUAGGAUAAGAUAGGAUGUAGGAUAGGAUAAGAUGUAGGAUAUAGAUUUAGUUCCUCAUACCCUGAGAAAUGGGUGAGAAACAAUAGUCCAUGGCCAGUAAUCACUAUCUUAAGUCAUAAAGAAUCAGUUGCAGCUUUAAAAAUAAGCUAAAAUUAUAGGAAACUAGAUGUGAUGAUGCAUUUCUGUUAUCUGAGCACACGAGAGAAUGGAGGUAGUAGGAUCAAACGUCAAAAGCAGGUAGCCAGCCUGGGCUACUUGAGAUGGAAUUUUUAAAAGCCAAAUGUAGGCUUUGGUGGUUAAAAGCUUCUUAAUGCCAAGUAUUGAGAACCUUAGUCUGAUCCCUGUGACUCACAUGGUAGAGAGAAGCAACUCUUGAAAAUUGUCUUCUGACCUAAUACACUCUCUGUCACACACACACACACACACACACACACACACACACACACACACACACACACAAGAAAUCUAGGCAAGCUUCAAAUUGGUAGUUCUGGAUACUAUGCCUAAGAAUUGGGCAAGUUCAGGCAAGCCCAGGAAGUCAGUUAAUAGAAAAAAAAAAAUCAAAAAACAAAAGCCAAAAAGCCAGGCUUCAGGCAGCUAGUCAAAAACUGCCCUGUCAUCAGAAGCUGCCUUGUCACCUGGCUGGAGGCAAGGACAAUCAGCAGUUUCCAGACUUCUUCAACAAUAGUUUCCAGACUUCCCCACUUGUUAUUUUCCAGCCCCCAUGUCCUGGUAUUGGUUAUGGAAUGUCCCUAGAGAUGGAGUUAACAGAUUAAGAUAGAGGCCACUUACCCUGGAAAUCCUCUAAUGUUCUUUAAGUCAGACCUGUGACCUCACUUCAGGGUCUCCAUCUUGGAGACCCCAGCAUGCUGGACUUCUGCAAAAUAAAAUAUUCUUUGCAUUUACAUACUUUUUGAGUCUGGGGUAUCAUUCUUCGGUGAAUCAUGGACCCUUUCAACACACAUACACACACACACACACACACACACACACACACAUAAUUUGGAGACUAGAAAAAGCACUGGCUGCUUUUGCAGAGGAUCUGGGUUUGAUUUCUCACACUGUCCCUAGCUCCGGGCGCAUUGGCUCGGACUCCCUCUGUUGGCUUCCAAGGACAUCAGACAUGCAUGUGGUGCACAAGCACUUAUGCAGGUAAAACGUCAAUACACAUGCUAUUAAAAUGUAACUUUUAUUUUGUUUAUUUUUUUUUAAAGAUUUAUUUAUUUAUUAUAUGUAAGUACACUGUAGCUGUCUUCAGACACUCCAGAAGAGGGCGUCAGAUCUUGUUACAGAUGGUUGUGAGCCACCAUGUGGUUGCUGUGAUUUGAACUCUGGACCUUCGGAAGAGCAGUCGGGUGCUCUUACCCACUGAGCCAUCUCACCAGCCCUAUUUUGUUUAUUUUAUAUUUAUUUUGGAAACAGGGUCUCCCUCUUUAGUCCUGGCUGUCCUGGAGUCUGCUAUGUAGACCAAGCAGAUCCUUCUGCUUCCUAAGUGCUAGGAUUAAAGGCAUGUUACCACCCCAGGCUUAAGUGUAAUUUUUAAAAAAGCCCUUAACAAAAAAGUAGUAGCCUGGUGAUGUAGCUAACAACUCUAAACCCAGCCCUGGGGAGGCAGAGGCAGGAGGCUUACUUAAAGUUCCAGCACGGGCUGGUGAGAUGGCUCAGUGGGUAAGAGCACCCGACUGCUCUU
rnacentral:lncRNA from 1 species